CCCAAUAAACAUGGAACGUUGGCCCAACGUUAACCCAACGGUUUUUAAACUACGUGGCCAGCGUUUGCUCGUCGCACGUUAACCAGGUAGUCGCCACCGCGCCACGGCACGGCGACCCUGGUAAACACGCCAACGUUGUCCCAACGUCGCUGAGAAGCCCCCGCCGCACGGCACGGCCCGCGUGCCGCCGUCUGCUGCUCGUGAAGCAAGAGCGGGCCGAUGCUCGCGCGGGAUCCGUGCCACGGGAAUCCUCGUGGGAUUCACGGGACCGAGGACGCAAGGCGUUAAAAGAGCGAGGUCCCCCACUCCGUCUCGUCUCUGUCUGGUCUGCGGGGUGGGUGGCGCUCGGGGAAUGGAUUGCUGCAGGUUGUCAGGCGCGGUGCCGUAGGCUGAGGAGUCUUCUACGCACGCGUCCAGAGUGUCACGACGCUGUCACGGCGUCACCCGCUGCUCUGGGAGGUCCCGUGGGGGCGACGGCGCGAAACGUUGGACUAAGAGGGGUCGGCCGGCCUAGGCUACCAAACCGGGGUGGAAAGAGAGAACGGCCACCGAAUUCGCUGUCGACGACCCCCUCCCCCAAACCACCUCACCACCGGGCGCAGAUGACCAGUGGCGGGGUCAGCUGACAUCCGGUGACGUUUCGUUUGAAAUCCGAAACUCAUCCCUGCUGUACAGAUCACUCUCACAGAAGAAGGCGAAGCCUCUCGACGCCGGACCAAUUUAGGGGAGGGCAUCGCCGGUUGUAGGGGGUGUCGUGUAUUCUGUAAAUAAUAACAAGAGUACAUUUACAAAUUACAUUUGCGUGUAAUUACUGGAUGAACCAUUUAAAUAAAACUUAAUAUCUCA